CGUGUCCUUACCCUCACAGUGUCGUCGUCAGCUAUCACAGGUCUGCAUUUUCUGAUCACAUCACUUGUACAACUUCCAUAUUAGCAGCCAACUUGCUUUGGAAGACAAAGAAGUUUUGAAAAAAAAUAAGACGUGGGAUUAUUUCUUAUUGGCCAAGCUUAUCAAAGAGAAAGUAAUAAACCGAACAUUAGCAAUCUGCCUCUCUGCUGGGCUGCUAAAGAGUUCUCGCGUUUUCAGAAUAGACGAGAUGUUUGCAUGUGUCCCAACACACUCUACUCCUCCCCAGCUUGAAAAGACUUUUAUAAGCCCAGAGUGUCUAGGGAACGAUGGGGAAUAAAAUCUCCAGUGGGCUCCAUGUGACUGGUCGCAUCCCAGUUCAUUUCCAGGAGACAGGGCAGCAUGCACAAGACGCCAGCACAAAGUGGCCAUUCUUCAGGAUUUCCUCACGGGGCAUCAAUGCCAGGGCCUGUGCGGUGGUAGUGGCUCUCCAGCCAUCUCAUCAAGCGCUCCCACAGAAGAGAAACUGAAAUCUUGGUCUGAGGCAGGACAAUCCCGAGGAAGGAUGGUCCCCUACUAACCUUCCUUCUCUUAUUUUCUGAACUGAGGGCCAUCCUAACACCUUCCAGUGAACCUCCCAGCAGGCCACCUUCCCACAAAAGAGUGCACACAUGCUCCCCCGAGAGUCUCCAUUUGAACCAUUUGAACUGAGACGCAGGAUCUCCUCCUCUUGGACUGUAAACUAUCAACACUCAGAUUCUUCUGAGCAGGAACAGAGGCCUAAGAGAAAACUUUCUACUAAACCAUCCAUUCGUCUUCCUUUACAAUGAAAGAGAGGGGAGAUUUCUCCUCAAAGGCCUGGAAAGUCUGGGUUGGAAUCUUCCUUUCUGAGCUUCAUGUCCAAGCACUUCAAGAAGGCACAUAGACUACUUCCUAUUCAGAUUCAUGUCCUCAUUUGCAGAACCUGCAAGGUUGAGCCUUUCUGUGCGUUGACAGAGCCUCUAAGAUGGUAUCAUAGGCAACACACGUCACAACUACCUCAGGACUGCACAAUUAGUGAGGUCACCAAGUGGGAUUCAUGUAUGAUUGGUGCCGUGGCCCUUAAAGGGCAUCUCUGCAGGAAAGGACCUAUUUCCUGUCAUUCCCACGUGGAGAUGGGACAAUAGAGAUGGGCAGCCGUAUUACAUGUUUAGUGGUAGUUCCCAACAUGUGCUUUAUAACAAAGAAUGUCAGGAGGCCCCUUGGAGAGAAACAAAGGGGCUUGCAAGGGGGCUCAUUCUUGAUUCAGAGUCCAAGUGAGAAGAUCUGUUCUGUUGAGAAGGCGGCCUGGUGUUUCCAAAUCAGGACAAAAGAGUCAUCCUGAGUCUUAUCAUUCCUUCUUCCUCUGGUUUUGAGUUGAGCCUGAGGGCUCAGGUACAUACAUACAUACACACACGCACGCACACACACACACACACACACACACACACACACACACACACACCAUUUCCUAGUGGAAUUCUGUGCUGCAGACCAAAUAUUGACAGAAUCAUCCAAGUGUCUCUUUGCCCUGGGGCAGUUGAGUUGAGUUACAUACACCAAAGAGAGGCAACAAAUAAGAAAAUACUUUCAUUUAUCUCAUUGAGAAGAAACCCUUAUUAGGCCUUAAAAAGAAGGCAUGAGCAAAUAUGAGAUUAAUAUAAACGAAGGAGGGGCGCGGUUUCUGCUUUAUGUGUUGAUAAGCCCCUUUCCCCUCUCUCCCCCUUUCAUACUAAUUAUUAUUAUCAUUAUUAGUAUUAUUUUACCCCUCAAUUGCCUUCGGAUGUUAUCCAAGAGGAAGAGCUCUGUCGUCUGGGGAAAGCUCCACAGUAUUGUUUAUUUCAUGUAAUAAAAUGUAUGUAAUGAUCAUGA